rnacentral:rRNA from 1 species
CCUACGGGUGGCAGCAGUGGGGAAUAUUGGACAAUGGGCGAAAGCCUGAUCCAGCCAUGCCGCGUGUGUGAAGAAGGCCUUCGGGUUGUAAAGCACUUUCAGUGGGGAAGAAAGCCUUGGGGCUAAUACCCUCGAGGAAGGACAUCACCCACAGAAGAAGCACCGGCUAACUCCGUGCCAGCAGCCGCGGUAAUACGGAGGGUGCGAGCGUUAAUCGGAAUUACUGGGCGUAAAGCGCGCGUAGGCGGUCUGAUAAGCCGGUUGUGAAAGCCCCGGGCUCAACCUGGGAACGGCAUCCGGAACUGUCAGGCUAGAGUGCAGGAGAGGAAGGUAGAAUUCCCGGUGUAGCGGUGAAAUGCGUAGAGAUCGGGAGGAAUACCAGUGGCGAAGGCGGCCUUCUGGACUGACACUGACGCUGAGGUGCCAAAGCGUGGGUAGCAAACAGGAUUAGAUACCCUUGUAGUC